CCUACGGGAGGCAGCAGUGAGGAAUAUUGGUCAAUGGGAGAGAUCCUGAACCAGCCAAGCAGCGUGAGGGAAGACGGCCCUAUGGGUUGUAAACCUCUUUUGUCGGAGGACAAAAACCGGGACGUGUCCCGGACUGCGUGUAUCCGAAGAAAAAGGAACGGCUAACUCCGUGCCAGCAGCCGCGGUAAUACGGAGGAUGCGAGCGUUAUCCGGAUUUAUUGGGUUUAAAGGGUGCGUAGGCGGUCCGUUAAGUCAGCGGUAAAAGUGCGGGGCUCAACCCCGUCGAGCCGUUGAAACUGGCAGACUUGAGUUGGCGAGAAGUACGCGGAAUGCGCGGUGUAGCGGUGAAAUGCAUAGAUAUCGCGCAGAACUCCGAUUGCGAAGGCAGCGUACCGGCGCCAGACUGACGCUGAGGCACGAAAGCGUGGGGAUCGAACAGGAUUAGAUACCCCUGUAGUC
rnacentral:rRNA from 1 species